rnacentral:rRNA from 1 species
AUGGCUAAGAUCCGGGAGAGGAAGACGAGGGAUAUUGGCCAAGUCAAAUGCAUCAAGGACGGAGCAGGCCAACUCUUGGUGAAGGACGAAGAGAUUAAGCAUAGAUGGCGGGAGUACUUCGACAAGCUAUUCAAUGGGGAGAAUGAGAGUUCUACCAUUGAACUGAAUGGCUCCUUUGAUGAGACCAGCAUGCGUUUUGUGCGGCGCAUCCAGGAGUCUGAGGUGAAGGAGGCUUUAAAAAGGAUGAAAGGAGGCAAGGCGAUGGGCCCUGAUUGUAUCCCCAUUGAGGUGUGGAAAGGUCUCGGGGACAUAGCGAUAGUAUGGCUAACCAAGCUUUUCAACCUCAUUUUUCGGGCAAACAAGAUGCCAGAAGAAUGGAGACGGAGUAUAUUAGUACCAAUCUUCAAGAACAAGGGGGGUGUUCAGAGUUGUACUAAUUACCGUGGAAUUAAGCUGAUGAGCCAUACAAUGAAGCUAUGGGAGAGAGUCAUUGAGCACCGCUUAAGAAGAAUGACAAGCGUGACCAAAAAUCAGUUUGGUUUCAUGCCUGGGAGGUCGACCAUGGAAGCCAUUUUCUUGGUACGACAACUUAUGGAGAGAUAUAGGGAGCAUAAGAAGGACUUGCAUAUGGUGUUCAUUGACUUGGAGAAGGCAUAUGAUAAGAUACCGCGGAAUGUCAUGUGGUGGGCCUUGGAGAAACACAAAGUCCCAGCAAAGUACAUUACCCUCAUCAAGGACAUGUACAAUAAUGUUGUGACAAGUGUUCGAACAAGUGAUGUCGACACCGAUGACUUCCCGAUUAAGAUAGGACUGCAUCAGGGGUCAGCUUUGAGCCCUUAUCUUUUUGCAUUGGUGAUGGAUGAGGUCACAAGGGGUAUACAAGGAGAUAUCCCAUGGUGUAUGCUCUUUGCGGAUGAUGUGGUGCUAGUUGACGAUAGUCGGACGGGGGUAAAUAGGAAGUUAGAGUUAUGGAGAAAAACCUUGGAAUCGAAAGGGUUUAGGCUUAGUAGAACUAAAACCGAGUACAUGAUGUGCGGUUUCAGUACUACUAGCUGUGAGGAGGAGGAGGUUAGCCUUGAUGGCCAGGUGGUACCUCGGAAGGACACCUUUCGGUAUUUGGGGUCAAUGUUGCAGGAGGAUGGGGGUAUUGAUGAAGAUGUGAACCAUCGAAUCAAAGCUGGAUGGAUGAAG